UUCAAUGUAGUUCAUUCAUUCAAAUGUUUGAUUGAGCCUCAUCAAGUACUUGGUACUUUUCUAGGUGCUGGAGACACAGCAGUGAACAUAAGGGCCCCCAGAUGAGAUUGGAAGUCUGAGAGCAACACCUUCAACGAGGAGUGUUUGAAAACCGGAAUUUUUGCUUCACUUCGUGGUGAUCUCUGUGAAGCUUCUGGCUAAAGUAUUCAAUCACUGGCAAUGAAUGGAAUCCCAUUCCUAGGACUCUCCUAGCUCACUUAUACAUUUUCAAGAGACAAACAGAACCAAUGCACUUGGAUCAUCACCUAUUUUUCAGAGUUGGCAGACCAUAUGGAGUUCUGCAUCUGUAAACCCAGGUCUUUGGUAGGCCAAGGACGGAGGAUCCAGAUCACUUGAGGCCAGAAGUUCUAGACCAGCUGGGCAACAACAUAGUAAGACCAG